AGGACGAACGCUGGCGGCGUGCUUAACACAUGCAAGUCGAGCGGAAAGGCCCUUCGGGGUACUCGAGCGGCGAACGGGUGAGUAACACGUGAGUAAUCUGCCCCUAGCUCUGGGAUAGCUCCGGGAAAACCGGGAUUAAUACCGGAUACGACCACUUUAGACAUCUUUUUUGGUGGAAAGAAUUUCGGCUAGGGAUGAGCUCGCGGCCUAUCAGCUUGUUGGUGGGGUAACGGCCUACCAAGGCGACGACGGGUA
rnacentral:rRNA from 1 species